rnacentral:rRNA from 1 species
CCUACGGGAGGCAGCAGUGAGGAAUAUUGGUCAAUGGCCGAAAGUCUGAACCAGCCAAGCCGCGUGAAGGACGAAGGUGCCAAGCAUUGUAAACUUCUUUUGUCAAGGAACAAAAUCAGGCUCGAGAGCCUGACCGCGGGUACUUUAAGAAGAAGGAUCGGCUAACUCCGUGCCAGCAGCCGCGGUAAUACGGAGGAUCCGAGCGUUAUCCGGAUUUAUUGGGUUAAAAGGGUGCGUAGGGGGAAUGUUAAGUCAGCGGGAAAAGCCCGGGGCCAAACCCCGGCGAGCCGUUGAAGCUGGCGGUCUGGAGAUGUCGAGAGGGAUGCGGAAUGCGAAGUGUAGCGGUGAAAUGCUUAGAUAUUGCGAAGAACUCCGAUUGCGAAGGCAGCAUACCGGCGGCGAUCUGACGCUGAGGCACGAAAGCGUGGGUAUCGAACAGGAUUAGAUACCCUUGUAGUC